rnacentral:rRNA from 1 species
GAUGAACGCUAGCGGCAGGCCUAAUACAUGCAAGUCGAACGGUGUCUUCGGACAUAGUGGCGCACGGGUGCGUAACACGUAUGCAACCUACCUUACAUUGGGGGAUAGCCUUUCGAACGGGAGAUUAAUACCGCAUAAGACAGUAGCUGGGCAUCCAGCAGCUGUUAAUGAUUUAUCGAUGUAAGCUGGGCAUGCGUCCAAUUAGCUAGUUGGUGAGGUAACGGCUCACCAAGGCAAUGAUUGGUAAGGGAACUGAGAGGUCAAUCCCCCACACUGGCACUGAGAUACGGGCCAGACUCCGACGGGAGGCAGCAGUAGGGAAUAUUGGGCAAUGGACGCAAGUCCGACCCAGCCAUGCCGCGUGCAGGAUGAAGGCGUUAUGCGUUGUAAACUGCUUUUAUACAGGAAGAAACGACUCUUGCGAGAGGCAUUGACGGUACUGUAUGAAUAAGCACCGGCUAACUCCGUGCCAGCCGCCGCCGUAAUAC